UACGUAGGGUCCGAGCGUUGUCCGGAAUUACUGGGCGUAAAGAGCUCGUAGGUGGUUUGUCGCGUCUGCUGUGAAACAUCAGGCUUAACCCUGGAGCCUUGCAGUGGGUUACGGGCAUGGACUGGAGGUUCGGCAGGGGAGACUGGAAUUCCGUGGUGUGAUGCGGUGAAAUGACGCAGAUAUCAGGAGGAACACCGGUGGCGAAGGCGGGUCUCUGGGCCGAUACUGACGCUGGAGGAGCGAAAGCGUGGGGAGCAAACAGG
rnacentral:rRNA from 1 species